UACAGAGGCCACGAGCGUUGUUCGGAAUCACUGGGCAUAAAGCGCACGUAGGCGGCUAGGUCCGUCCGAUGUGAAAGCCCCCGGCUCAACCGGGGAAUUGCAUCGGAUACAGCCUGGCUCGAGGACGGUUGGGGUGAGUGGAACUCCUGGUGGAGCGGUGAAAUGCGUAGAUAUCAGGAGGAAUACCAGAGGCGAAGGCGGCUACCUGGACAAUUGCUGACGCUCAGGCACGAAAGCGUGGGGAGCAAACGGG
rnacentral:rRNA from 1 species